rnacentral:rRNA from 1 species
UGCGCAGGCGGGUUGGCAAGUCAGAGGUGAAAUCUCACAGCUUAACUGUGAAACUGCCUUUGAUACUUCCAAUCUUGAGUUAAAGAGAGGUUGAUGGAAUUUCAGGUGUAGCGGUGAAAUGCGUAGAUAUCUGAAAGAACACCAGUGGCGAAGGCGGUCAACUGGCUUUUAACUGACGCUCAGGCACGAAAGCGUGGGUAGCGAACAGGAUUAGAUACCCUGGUAGUCCACGCCCUAAACGAUGAAUACUUGGUGUUGGACCGUAAGGUUCAGUGCCGUAGGUAACCUGUUAAGUAUUCCACCUGGGGAGUACGCCCGCAAGGGUGAA